rnacentral:rRNA from 1 species
AUUGAACGCUGGCGGCAGGCCUAACACAUGCAAGUCGAGCGGAUGAAGGGAGAUUGCUCCUGGAUUCAGCGGCGGACGGGUGAGUAAUGCCUAGGAAUCUGCCUGGUAGUGGGGGAUAACGUCCGGACACGGGCGCUAAUAUCGCAUACGUCCUGAGGGAGAAAGUGGGGGAUCUUCGGACCUCACGCUAUCAGAUGAGCCUAGGUCGGAUUAGCUAGUUGGUGGGGUAAAGGCCUACCAAGGCGACGAUCCGUAACUGGUCUGAGAGGAUGAUCAGUCACACUGGAACUGAGACACGGUCCAGACUCCUACGGGAGGCAGCAGUGGGGAAUAUUGGACAAUGGGCGAAAGCCUGAUCCAGCCAUGCCGCGUGUGUGAAGAAGGUCUUCGGAUUGUAAAGCACUUUAAGUUGGGAGGAAGGGCAGUAAGUUAAUACCUUGCUGUUUUGACGUUACCAACAGAAUAAGCACCGGCUAACUUCGUG